CACGCAGGCGGUCUGUGAAGUUUGGAGUGACAGUUGGUGGCUUAACUGCCAAAGUGCUUUGAAAACUGACAGACUUGAGGGCUUCAGAGGGACACGGAAUUCCGGGUGGAGUGGUGAAAUGCGUAGAGAUCCGGAGGAACACCAAAGGCGAAGGCAGUGUCCUGGGGAGUACCUGACGCUCAGGUGCGAAAGCCAGGGGAGCGAACG
rnacentral:rRNA from 1 species